rnacentral:rRNA from 1 species
AACGUAGGAGACGAACGUUAUCCGGAGUUACUGGGCGUAAAGGGCGUGUAGGCGGUUUGUUAAGUCUGGCGUGAAAUCUCCCGGCUCAACUGGGAGGGUGCAUCGGAAACUGGCAGGCUUGAGGCAGGGAGAGGGAUGUGGAAUUCCUGGUGUAGCGGUGAAAUGCGCAGAUAUCAGGAGGAACACCGGUGGCGAAGGCGGGU